GUGAGUGAUGAAGCUAGAGUGACCCUGGGGACAAGGGGCAACGGUUUAAAAAUGGAAGGGACGGAGGAAAGAGGCAGUGAAGAGACAAAGUGAACACGUGGUACACUGUAGAUGUGGAUUAAUAAACAUUGCUUUAAAUAUGUCUAAAUAAAAAAAGCUUAAAAUUGUAGCCACCAGCUGGAUGUGGUGGUGCAUGCCUGUAAUUCUAACACUCAGGAGGCUGAGGCAGGAGGAUUGCCGACACGAGGGUCAGCCUGAACUGCAUAUCGAGACCCAGUCUCAAAAAAACAACCAAAAGUAGCCAGCGCUUCCCAUCCCACCCCCAGAGCACCAGGCCCUGUCAGUGCACACUCACCAGACCCACCCGCCACCCCAGCUUCCUCACCACACAGCGGCCAAAGCGGCUAGACUUGGCCCCAUCACUGGAAACACUGUAGAUGUAGAUGGUGUUGUCAUGGGAGCCAAUGGCCAGAACCAACCACCUGGCAGGGAAAGGAGGUGGCAAGAAGCAAAAUGCACCCCAACCUCCAUGGAGCCCCUGGGCAGAGUGGGGAAUGGCAAACCAGAAAGCCUCAGGCUGUGAUGCCAGAACUCUGAGAGGCUGAGGCAGGAGGUGGCAAGUUUGAGUCCAACCUGGGCAACUUAGCGAAAGAGCAAGACCUUGUCUCAAAAUUUAAAAGGGUCUGGGGCCGGGUAGCUGUAAUCUCAGCACUCGGGAGGCUGAGGCAGUAAGGUAAGUACAAGUUUGAGCCUAGGGCUACAGUGAGUUUAAGACCAGCCUGAACUACAUAGAGAUCCUGUCUCAAAAAAUAAAUUAAUAGAUAAAUGGGCUGCAGAUGUACCUCAGUGCAAAACCCUGGGGUUCAAUCCCCAGCACUGCAGAAAAAGGGGAAAAACCCAAGGUUGUCAGGUAGAAGAGAGGUCACCACCACACUUUAAGGCUGGGAAAUGAGCAGAUCAAAGUGAGGGGCUUCUGGAGCCGUCUGGGAAAGAAGCAGGAAACACAGACCAGGCCUGUGUGGGGCACUCGGUGCCACAUUCCUCCUCAGCUCCCCGGCCCACCUCGUCCCUCCUGGGAGCCCAAAGCCCUCACCUGCCAGUGUUCAGCCCCACAGCCACGACCGCCCCGCUCGGGUGGAAGUCAGCACAGAGACCAGUCUCCUGCCAGGGAAGGAGGGUUAGGGGGUCAAGGUGCCUUCCAGAGAGGGAGUGAGGACGGCACUGGUCCCAACCCUUCAGAGCCUCCUGAGGUGGGGGACGGGAGAUUGGGUCCCUAGAGCCUCAGCAGCUUGCCAGGGGGAGUGUCCCCCAGCAACAGGCACAGCACAAAGAGUUCCUGAGCACCGAGCAGUGGACAGCAAGGCAGCUUGGCUGGAGGGACCCUGGCUCUACCUUGAGGUCCAGGCUCCAGGCCAGCGCGUGGCCCUCCCCAUCCCACAGGCAGAGCUGCCGGUCGUGGCCGCAGCACCCCACCCGCCAGCUCCGGUGCCAACCUGGAUGACCGCGGAGAACCCCUGAGCCAGGUCUCCUCUCAGGAGAGCGUUCUUCGUGGUCCCCACCAGCAGCUCGGCACCCGGCCCCUCUGCGAUGGCCCGCACAGCUCCGAAGUGCUCCGGGAU
ensembl:lncRNA